UGACCAAGAUCUCGUAACUUGUCGAAAAAGAUGAAACAGACAUUUGUAUAGAUAGAAAUAAUAUUUCAGCUGGAAAUUUUCAAAGCAAAACUCUCUCUGUAUUCUCCCUUUCUCUGUCAAGAGCAUGGCGAGGCACGCCCGUGUCGUACGUGUACAUAUGCUCGCGAGCAGCCGUUAGCGGUUAAACACGAACGCGUCCUGUAUCAUGAUUCACGAGGGAAUAUGAGCAGAACGUCAAUGAAUCGUAAUACAUAAUGACAUAUAGAAUCAACUAAUGCUUUUAUAUCGAAACGUUCACAGAUUAACCUAAUCUCGAUAUAUCGCGCAUCGAAACAAUAGUUGCGAUAAUCUUACAGAUUGCGCACCGUGCCUUACACUAUACCCUCGAAAGCAAGGUUAUCAUUGAAUACUCAUAGUCUUCUGUAUUGCACAGCUAGAUCACGCUAUUGUAUAUCCAAAAUAACCGUUACUUUGCGCAUGUACAUUGACAUUUCCGUGAAUCUUGAAUAUCGAUUUAUAACUUAAGAAUAUUCAUAAAGUGAAAGAUAUGUUUGAUAUUGGCAGCUCCACCGCAACAUAACACUAACGCGAGUAACGAGCCAACACAGUGUACACUUAUCAAAUAUGUAUUUUAAUUUUUUUCAAUGGCAAAGACCUAGCAGCAAGAAAUUCAUCGAUCUCUGAACCUGUACGAGCAAGAGAGAUCGCGGGGAACAAAAACGACUGCUUGGAAUGCGUGAAUGAAUUAUUUAUAGAGAACAGAAAGUAAGGAAGAUGACGAACCUGAGUGGCAUGAUUCUCAGUCCUAUGCAUACAAGCUUAGAUGCGCGUGAAUUCUUUUGUGAAAACGUACGGGAGAAAAUAGGUAACGGAAUUCGUAUCGUAGAUCGUAGUAAGAUGACAAGUUACUGUCAUACACCGCCGUACCGGUAGUCAUCGAAGAUUUCAUGAGAAAGGAAGCGAAGAAGCACAGCGAUGAGUAGACCCGGGGUUGGGUACGCAGAGAAAGGAGGGGAUAUACCAAAGGAGAGAAGAACGUCGCCCGCGGCUAGCAACCGCAAAGGCAAAACUCCCGUGAGUGGUUUGCCACCGUGAACUGGUUUUGGGGGCUAUCCUUGUUACGCGUUGGCGAAAACAACGGGUCAGCAUCCGAUGCACUUUGACGUGUAUACUAUUCGGUGUUGUCGUAUAUGAGUAUAUCAUAAAAGAACAAAAAAACGAUAAAGAUAGGUAGGUGGAGGAAGAAACAGUCUCAAGUAGACUUACCCAGAGUUCUGUACCCCAGCUCAUGUUUGCUGGGCUGGGUAAACCAGGCACAAGCAGGUUUGGUCUCACUCGACACUUCACAUGUAGC